rnacentral:rRNA from 1 species
UUAAUGUAUAGGUAACAUGCCCCUUAGUAUGGGAUAACAGUUGGAAACGACUGCUAAUACCAUAUAUUCCUAUGUAAUAUAAGUUAUAUAGGGAAAGAUUUAUUGCUAAGGGAUUGGCUUGUAUUGUAUCAGUUAGUUGGUGAGGUAAUGGCUCACCAAGACUAUGACACAUAGCUGGUCUGAGAGGAUGAUCAGCCACACUGGAACUGAGACACGGUCCAGACUCCUACGGGAGGCAGCAGUGGGGAAUAUUGCACAAUGGACGAAAGUCUGAUGCAGCAACGCCGCGUGGAGGAUGACGCAUUUCGGUGUGUAAACUCCUUUUAUAUGAGAAGAAAUUUGACGGUAUCAUAUGAAUAAGCACCGGCUAACUCCGUGCCAGCAGCCGCGGUAAUACGGAGUGUGCAAGCGUUACUCGGAAUCACUGGGCGUAAAGCGUGCGUAGGCGGUUUGAUAAGUCUGGGGUGAAAUCCUACAGCUCAACUGUAGAACUGCUCUUGAAACUGUCAGACUAGAAUUAGGGAGAGGUAGAUGGAAUUAGUGGUGUAGGGGUAAAAUCCGUAGAGAUCACUAGGAAUACCAAUUGCGAAGGCGAUCUACUGGAACUAUAUUGACGCUAAGGCACGAAAGCGUGGGGAGCAAACAGGAUUAGAUACCCUGGUAGUCCACGCCGUAAACGAUGAAUGUUAAUUGUUGGUAUGCUAGACAUAUCAGUAAUGCACCUAACGGAUUAAACAUUCCGCCUGGGGAGUACGGUCGCAAGAUUAAAACUCAAAGGAAUAGACGGGGACCCGCACAAGCGGUGGAGGAUGUGGUUUAAUUCGAAAAUACGCGAAGAACCUUACCUGGCCUUGACAUAGUAAGAAUCCUUAAGAGAUUAGGGAGUGCUGCUUGCAGAGCUUACAUACAGGUGCUGCACGGCUGUCGUCAGCUCGUGUCGUGAGAUGUUGGGUUAAGUCCCGCAACGAGCGCAACCCUUAUCUUUAGUUGCUAACACAUUAUGGUGAGAACUCUAAAGAGACUGCCCACGCAAGUGGGAGGAAGGUGAGGACGACGUCAAGUCAUCAUGGCCCUUACGGCCAGGGCUACACACGUGCUACAAUGGCUAGGACAAUGAGACGCAAUACAGUGAUGUGGAGCAAAUCUAUAAACCUAGUCCCAGUUCGGAUAGCAGUCUGCAACUCGACUGCUUGAAGUUGGAAUCGCUAGUAAUCGUAGAUCAGCAAUGCUACGGUGAAUACGUUCCCGGGUCUUGUACUCACCGCCCGUCACACCAUGGGAGUUGAAUUCACCCGAAGCGGGGAUGCUAAAUUAGCUACCCUCCACGGUGGGUUCAGCGACUGGGGUGAAGUCGUAACAAGGUA